UGAGAGGCUACCUGAAGCCUGCCCCAGGCACUGUCCAACCACCAAACACCCGAGGAAGUCACCAAACAAAUGCAGGUUUCUGCCUUCAGGGUGCACACCUUCCCAGAGGAGCCAAGAGGACAGGGGCCACAAGCAAACCACACAGCAGUCCCUCAGAAGGGAAGGCCCAUGGGUGGAGACUGGAGCCCAGGAGGUGGGGAGGAAGUCACAUGUUAGGCAGGAAGAGCAGAGGAAGCCCAAGAAGGGACAGCCAAGCAAAGAGACUCAGGUGGUGAUGGCCAUGCACCCAGAAAAGCAUUCCAGGCAGGGGACAGCCAGAGCCAAAGCCAAAGGGCUUUGGACACACACUUCAACCUAGCAGCAGCAGUGCCCCACUACUGCUUCAUAACCUUCGACUUAGACUUUGGUACCUGAAGUACAGCUCCCCGUUCCACGUGACCUGACAUCUCUGGUGAGAUUCCUCACUUUAACUCAGCC